ensembl:lncRNA
GAAAUAUGCAGAGGAAUGUCAAAGGAAACUCCUCUAGAAAGGAAAAAUAAGGUUAAAUGAUGACAUAGUUGCCAGUGGGAUAUUUUCAUAGCCAUAAAAGAUGUUGGGCUUAUCCAAAUGCAGAAACAGGUGAAAAUGGAAUUGUGCUAUACCACAAAGGUGCUCUGGGCUGAUGCCCGGUACUUCAUGCUCGCCUGGGCUCUCCUAAGGAGUUUGUUCCUGAUUCUCUAUGGGCUCUCCAGUGAAGGGAGGAGUGCUAUGAGGAGCUGGAGCCAGACGUACCACGCCAGGAGCUGCAAGGUCUCUGCUUUACUACCACGGCCCUCCUGCUUUGCCCAUCCUCUCUGUCCCUAGGAGGUCACCAUCACCUCCAGUGAGCUUUGCUCUGCUCUCUGGCUGCUGUGUCUUCUGUAGAUCCUGUGCCCCAAUGACAUUUGUGACCUGCCAGAAAAAUAUAUCUCUUUCCCCGAGUGUUGUGGAAGUGUUUACAUGAUAAACUGUCGGUCUGUGUGGAGCUGAAGGGAAAAGGCCAGAGUGCCCUUCCUACUGUUGGCAGGAGGAUGACCAGCAGCAAGUGCCUGGCAGUCACUAAUUGACUCAUUAGAGGUCUCUGUGGGUGUGCUCACAGGAGAGUAGGCACGUCUGUACCGCCUCCUCUGAUGAGAAGCAUGGAUGUCAGGAUGGCAGUAUGGACAGGACUGCGGUCCCAGUUGGUGUGGGACAGCCCAGGCAUCACUGGCUGUGGGGUGCUUCAACAGCUCAGACAGGC